AUUUUCUUUCAGAGAGCCCUCCUGUUAUGUAGGUAAACAAUACUAUAUGCUUUAUUGAGGUACAAUUGGUAUACAGAAUCUUCAUGCAUAUAAUCUGGUAACGUGUGAUGUACCCACUAUGUCUGGGCCCUCCUAAGUUUUUAAUUCUCAAACUUGUCCACACUGAUCUUCUAGCAAUUGCAGUUCUGGUUUUCUAACUCUGGCACUGGCUCCUGAGAAAGAGACUGCUCAUAGACUUCUGCUCCAACAUCCCUGAAAAAAUGCAGACCUGAUCAAUCACUUGACUGAACUCUACUUGAAACACUUGGACUUUGGUCAAAUAAGCAUUUGCCACUUGAUUUAUACAGCAUUCCAACAAACGUCCAACUCAAGUCUUCUCUUGAGCCUGAUCUGCAAGGUUGUUUCUGGUAAGUGUUCUUCAUGGGAUUGCAAACAUGCACCUACUUAUAAAUUA